UUGCACAAUGGGGGCAACCCUGAUGCAGCGACGCCGCGUGAGCGAUGAAGCCCUUCGGGGCGUAAAGCUCUUUCGACCGGAACGAUAAUGACGGUACCGGGAGAAGAAGCUGCGGCUAACUACGUGCCAGCAGCCGCGGUAAUACGUAGGCAGCAAGCGUUGUUCGGAGUUACUGGGCGUCAAGAGUGCGUAGGCGGUUUUCUAAGUUCGGUGUGAAACCUCCCGGCUUAACUGGGAGGGUGCGCCGAAGACUGGGAAGCUGGAGUGUGGGAAAGGCAGGCGGAAUUCCUGGUGUAGCGGUGUAAUGCGUAGAUAUCAGGAGGAACACCCGCGGUGUAGACGGCUUGCUAGACCAUAACUGACGCUGAGGCACGAAAGCGGGGGU
rnacentral:rRNA from 1 species